rnacentral:rRNA from 1 species
UACGUAGGUGGCAAGCGUUGUCCGGAAUUAUUGGGCGUAAAGGGCUCGUAGGCGGUUUGUCGCGUCGGGAGUGAAAUCCACUGGCUUAACUGGUGGCUUGCUUUCGAUACGGGCAGACUGGAGGUAUGCAGGGGAGAACGGAAUUCCUGGUGUAGCGGUGAAAUGCGCAGAUAUCAGGAGGAACACCGGUGGCGAAGGCGGUUCUCUGGGCAUGUCCUGACGCUGAGGAGCGAAGGCCAGGGGAGCAAACGGG